rnacentral:lncRNA from 1 species
CUUGCAUAAUUCUGUGACUAUAUCCUAAACCCCACCGAAUUAUACAGUUAAUGUGGAUGAAUUUUAUGCUAUGUGAAUGUCAAUAAAACAAAAAUUAUAGGGAGUUAGUUAAAAAUGUGGUGAAAGUAUACCAUGAAUUCCUCUGCAGCUACUUAAAUUAACAAUGUGAUUUAUAUACACUAUUAUGGAAAUGUAUCCACGAUAUAGUAAAUGAGGGAUAAGGCCAAUUAUAAUUCAUUAUAACAUCUCAAUAUUAUAGAAAUAAACAAAAUGCAUGUAUAUGUGUCUGUGUGUGUACAGAAAGAAAAAUUUGGAAGGAUACAUAUCGAAAGUGAUUUUUCACUGAGUGCUGCAGAAUAAAAUCCUCUUUUUCAAUUUUUUAUUUAAUCUUUGCAAAAGUAAUACAGUCACAUAUAAAUGAUGUCAAAUGGUAUUUGUCUUUCUCUUUCUGACUUUCCUUAGUAUGAUCAUCUCUAGGUCCAUCCACGUAGCUACGAAUGGCAUUAUUUGGUUCUUUUUUUAUGGCUGAGUAGUAUUGCAUGGUAUGUAGUACCAUUUCUUCUUAAUUUAUCUGUCGAUGGACAUUUAGGUUGUUUUCAUGUCUUGGCUGUUAUAAAUAGUGCUGCUAUGAACAUAGAGGUGCAUAUAUCUUUCUGAAUGGAAGAUUUGUCUGGUAUAUAUGCCCAGGAGCGGGAUUGCUAGAUCCUGUGGUUGUUCUAUUUUAAGUUUUUUAGGAACCUCCAUCCUGUUUUCCAUAAUGGCUACACCAGUUUCCAUUCCCACCAUCAAUGCAGGAGCCAACGAACCCACUUCUGACACCCAUUUUCAGGAACUGAUUCUAAGGGCAGAAAAGGUGUCUCAGAGUUCACCAUGGCUGAGCACACACUGGUGUGUACCGCACGUCUCUAAAUCCCACUGAAAGGACAGAAGAAAUUCAGAAAAUAAAAAGAGUGCUAGUGGUUGUGAGCAGUCAGGAGGAAUGAGAUCAACAUCCAGAAGAUGAAGGAAUUUCUGGGAAAUAGAAGACAAACGUAAGAACGAAUUGGUGAAGAAAUUCAAACCAAGUGCUAAAGCCCCAGAGCUGAGUGUGCAGUCAGCACAGAGUGACUCCUCCCAGCAGAACUCCAGGCAACAUGACCUGGGUGCAAAAGGGAGCUAAAGACGGGCGGUGGGGAUGUGGAGAGUGCUUCCUUUCCACUGCCCACAAACUGCUCCUCUGCACACACACUCCCCUGAGGCUGGUCCUCUAUCAGCAACUGUGCUUCCUGAGGAAUGGGAGUCUCAUGGGGGCAAGGAAAUGUCCUCCGGCCGCUGACAACGUUCAGCCCCAACGAUCGUCUACAAUAUUGACAGCUAUGUAAGAGUCGCCAGUUAUUUCAGAAAAACCAGAGCCUGAGGGAGGCGCACAAAUAGAAUGGCCUCCAAGAAAACAGAAUACCCCAAAGAGAAGAAAACUUGAAGGCAUUCAAAUGACUCUCCCAGAGAGAGUUAAGAGAAUAUCACACCCACUUAAAAAAUAAAGCCUCUCUGAAAAAGGUGCAGAGUUCUUGGGAAUUAAAACCAUGGCUGUCAAAGCUUUUUUAAAAAAACUCCAUAACUGUGCUAAAUAGAUAACUGAAAACCAAAUUGGUAAGCUGGAAGACUGAGCUAAAAGAUGCUAUUUUUUUUUUUUUUUUUUUUUUUUUUUUUUGCUCUUUAGGGCUGAACCUGUGGUGGCACAUGGAGGUUCCCAGGCUACCAGGCUAGGGGUCUAAUUGGAGUUGUAGCUGCCAGCCUAUACCAAAGCCACAGCAAAGUGGGAACCAAGCCAUGUCUGUGACCUACACCACAGCUCACGGCAAUGCCAGAUCCUUAGCUCACUGAGCGAGGCCAGGAAUCGAACCCUCAUCCUCAUGGGUUCGUUUCUGCUGAGCCACAACAGG